rnacentral:rRNA from 1 species
UACGUAGGGUGCAAGCGUUAAUCGGAAUUACUGGGCGUAAAGCGUGCGCAGGCGGUUUUGUAAGUCUGAUGUGAAAGCCCCGGGCUCAACCUGGGAAUUGCGAUGGAGACUGCAAGGCUUGAAUCUGGCAGAGGGGGGUAGAAUUCCACGUGUAGCAGUGAAAUGCGUAGAGAUGUGGAGGAACACCGAUGGCGAAGGCAGCCCCCUGGGUCAAGAUUGACGCUCAUGCACGAAAGCGUGGGGAGCAAACAGG